UUCUAGAAUAAGCAGCCCACACACUAACUCAAGACUAUAAAAUAAAUAAAAUCGUAACUGGGACAUAUAUGUAAAGAACCUUCCUUAUCCAAAUGCUUCUCUUUCGAUGUUUGUGUCGCCUCUCGAUGUUGCUGUUGGACCUUCGCCAAGCAUUGUUGGUCACUGUUGCUUCUCGCCGGACUGCCGGUGUUGUCAUGCGUUCCUCCAGGUGUUGUUGCUUCAUCGCUGCUGGUGGCUGUUUCUUCUCGCCGGACUGCCGAUGUUGUCGUGCGUUCCUCCAGGCGUUGCUGCUUCAUCGCUGCUGGUGGCUGUUUCUUCUCGCCGGACUGCCGAUGUUGUCGUGCGUUCCUCCAGGCGUUGCUGCUUCAUCGCUGCUGGUGGCUGUUUCUUCUCGCCGGACUGCCGAUGUUGUCGUGCGUUCCUCCAGGCGUUGC
rnacentral:misc_RNA from 1 species